rnacentral:rRNA from 1 species
UGCAGAAUCCCGUGAACCAUCGAGUCUUUGAACGCAAGUUGCGCCCGAGGCCUUUGGGUCGAGGGCACGCCUGCCUGGGCGUCACGCCUAGCAUCGAACCGCACCAACUGCCCUCCUGGGCAGGGUGCGGCUUCGGAGAUUGGCCUCUCGUGCACUCAAGUGCGGUGGGCUUAAGAGAGGGCUGUCGGCCGGGUCGGCACGACGAGUGGCGGACUUGGUGCCAGCAGGAUGUCGUGUCCCCGGUCUUCGAGGAGCCCAAGACACCCGGAUCGGGCGUGCACACGCGCUUCCCACUCGGGAGGGCCUGCCGCCUCGCAACGUGACCCCAGGUCAGGCGGGGACACCCGCUGAGUUUAAGCAUAUCAAUAAGCGGAGGAGAAGAAACUUACAAGGAUUCCCCUAGUAACGGCGAGUGAACCGGGAGAAGCCCAGCUUGAGAAUCGGGGGGUCUCUGCCCCCAC